UCCCAAGAUGGCGGCCACCAUGAAGAAGGCGGCUGCAGAAGAUGUCAACGUUACUUUUGAAGAUCAACAAAAGAUAAACAAAUUUGCAUGGAAUACAAGUAGAAUUACAGAGCUGAAGGAGGAAAUAGAAGUAAAAAAGAAACAACUCCAGAAUUUAGAAGAUGCUUGUGAGGACAUCAUGCUUGCAGAUGAUGAUUGCUUAAUGAUACCUUAUCAAAUUGGUGAUGUUUUCAUUAGCCAUUCUCAAGAAGAAACCCAGGAAAUGUUAGAAGAAGCAAAGAAAAAUUUGCAAGAAGAAAUCCACGCCUUAGAAGCCAGAAUGGAAUCAAUUCAGCGAGCGUUAGCGGAUCUGAAAGUUCAGUUAUAUGCAAAAUUCGGGAGCAACAUAAACCUCAAAGCUGAUGACAGUUAAACAUUUUAUAAUACUUUUUUUUUAAUUUGUUUAAUAAACUUGAAUAUUGUUUAAAAUGAUAAUUUCCCUUCUUCAAAUGAUAUGGAAAGCAAAAGUUUCUUUAAAAUUUUCAUUUAUUUAAUGAAACUUGCCUAUUUUCACAUGUCUUGCUUAUUUAUUUUAUAUUUUUAAAAGAAGACAGUAUUCAUCUAUGUAUUUUGCAUAACGAUUCUAUCAAGUGUAGGGGCUUUAUGUCAUGUUAUUAAAAUCGGUUAAGCAACCUUU